rnacentral:rRNA from 1 species
UGGGGAAUAUUGCACAAUGGACGGAAGUUUGAUGCAGCGACGCCGCGUGGAGGGUGUAGGCCUUCGGGUUGUGAACUCCUUUUUCUCGCGAAAAAGGCACAGUUUUGGCUGUGUUGAUGGUAGUGGGGGAUGAAGCGCCGGCUAACUACGUGCCAGCAGCCGCGGUAAUACGUAGGGCGCGAGCGUUGUCCGGAUUUAUUGGGCGUAAAGAGCUCGUAGGUGGUUCGUCGCGUCUGUCGUGAAAGCCAGCAGCUUAACUGUUGGUCUGCCGUGGGUACGGGCGGGCUUGAGUGCGGUAGGGGUGACUGGAAUUCCUGGUGUAGCGGUGGAAUGCGCAGAUAUCAGGAGGAACACCGAUGGCGAAGGCAGGUCACUGGGCCGUUACUGACACUGAGGGGCGAAAGCGUGGGGAGCGAACAGG